AGAGUUUGAUCCUGGCUCAGGACGAACGCUGGCGGCGUGCUUAACACAUGCAAGUCGAACGAGGCCCUACCAGUGGCAACACUGGGAAAGGCCUAGUGGCGAACGGGUGAGUAACACGUGAGGAACCUGCCCCGAAGACUGGGAUAACCCUCCGAAAGGAGAGCUAAUACCAGAUGUCCUCAUGAGAUCGCAUGGUCACAUGAGGAAAGGUCCGCUGCUUCGGGAGGGCCUCGCGGCCUAUCAGCUUGUUGGUGGGGUAACGGCCUACCAAGGCGACGACGGGUAGCUGGUCUGAGAGGACGAUCAGCCACACUGGGACUGAGACACGGCCCAGACUCCUACGGGAGGCAGCAGUGGGGAAUCUUGCGCAAUGGGCGAAAGCCUGACGCAGCAACGCCGCGUGCGGGAUGAAGGCCUUCGGGUUGUAAACCGCUUUCAGUGGGGACGAAAACAGACGUACCCACAGAAG
rnacentral:rRNA from 1 species